rnacentral:rRNA from 1 species
GACGAACGCUGGCGGCGUGCUUAACACAUGCAAGUCGAACGAAAAGAGGGAAAGAGCUUGCUCUUUCCGGAAUUGAGUGGCAAACGGGUGAGUAACACGUAAACAACCUGCCUUCAGGAUGGGGACAACAGACGGAAACGACUGCUAAUACCGAAUAAGUUCCAAGAGCCGCAUGGCACAUGGAAGAAAAGGUGGCCUCUCCCAGUAAGCUAUCGCCUGAAGAGGGGUUUGCGGCUGAUUAGCUGGUUGGCGGGGUAACGGCCCACCAAGGCGACGAACAGUAGCCGGACUGAGAGGAUGAACGGCCACACUGGGACUGAGACACGGUCCAGACUCCUACGGGGGGCAGCAGGUGGGAAUCUUCCGCAAGGGGCGAAAGCCUGACGGAGCAACGCCGCGGUAGGUAUGACGGCCUUCGGGUUGUAAAACUCUGUGAUCCGGGACGAAAAGGCAGAGUGCGAAGAACAAACUGCAUUGACGGUACCGGAAAAGCAAGCCACGGCUAACUACGUG